UGCACUUCCCCGCCUCCCCUACGCCAUCUUCGCACCAUGCCUCCUGCCUCUCGCGCCCGCACAACGAGCCUCGAGGUCUCUCCGUCGCCAUCCCCGUCCUAGGCCCCACUUUCUCGGCGGCGUUGCGAUUCCACCAGACGUUAGGGCGAGGUGGCGCGGUUCGUGUGACAACGGGGCUCACCGCUUGCGGCCUCGUGGGUGCUCGGCGAUGCGCCAAUGUGCCAUGACGACCGGUCGGCUGGAGCACGGGGCCGUGGGACGCUGGGCGGCUGCCGUAUGAGUGCUAGGGUGUCGGCUGGGUCUAGGAGCUGGCCGGUGGGCGGCUGCGGCUCAGCCAUUGAGGUGAAGAUAUUGUCUUCCAUAUUAAAUUCAAAUCCGAUUUCGCAAGCAACCAUCCCUAUACCUCAUCAUGUUAAACUUCGAUUCCACAUCAGAUUCAAUUAUCCCUACGGCCUACAUGGGGCUAUAUCCAUUCAGAAUGUCUGUCGCAACCGUCCCUACACCUCUUUAUUAUUUACUUUAGGGAUGAGUUUGCUAGCCGCAUAGACUUUCCAUAUUGAAUAUGCCUAUUUUUCUUUUGCUUCUUAUUAGUUCGGAGACUACAGUCCUGUUGAUCCUCUUGCUAAAAAAAAUAGCUCAUCUUAGGCUAUGCGUAAUAAGGAUUAAUGGGUUAUAACGACUAAUUAACCGCUAUUAGCUCUUAGAGCAGCUCCAACAGACAGGUUAAAAAUCAUUCGCUCGGCAAAAAAAACAUAAAUCCCGUGGAAACCGAAUCCAACAGCUCUUCUUCAACCUCGCUUUCGCCAUCUCGCUCGGCAUCGCCCUCCGUCGCUAGCCAAUAUUGCCGAGCUGCUGUGUCUCGCCAAAUCGCAAUAUCCCGCCCCCGCGCUCUCCCAGCGAUUCCGUUCCCGCGCCCUCUCGCACGAUCUCCCGCCCUCCCGCCCUCUCUGUACCGCCCCCGCGCUCUCCCAGACUGGCCAGCCAUCCCGUUCUCGCGCCCUCCCGCCCUCCCUGUACCGCCGCCGCGCUUUCCCGCCCAUGCGCACUGCAGCUGUCCGCGACCUGUAGCUCCCCCGCGCUUUGCCGCCCAUGCGCGCUGCACCCAUCCGCGAUAGUGCAGGUCGCGCCGCCGCUAUCUUCAAUUGACCAGUCGAUGCCAUGUUCCGGCCACCGCGGCCUCGUGCAAUGGAGACAACACAAACUGGGAUGUGCACCGGAUCUGUAGACAACGUCCAUGUUUCCCAGUUUCUCCAACAAAGGCUGGAACAAGAGACAAGUCACCUAGAGGGAGAAUUUGAUGAAUCCACUGUCGGAUCGUUGCAUCAUCGGGUGGUUCCUGUAACAAUUGAGGAUCAGCUGGCAGAGGAUGUGCCAAAUGGUACUCAAUUUGAUGGUACGAGGCCUUCACUGCUAUGUUGGUCCAACUAAUCAAUUUUAUCUUGUGUGUUCAUUUUGCAGAAACAUAUGUAUUAGAUGAAGUUGAGAUACCUCCAUUUGCGUUAUGUUGACAUGGUACUUAAUCCAAUUAUGUAUGCUGAAACUGACAUUUUAAGAAUUGUGAUAGCUUCAUAUGGUAACUACAAUGAAUUAAAUAACAUUAGUACAUGCUUGCAACUUAUUUCAGAACUUGUUCUCUUGAGUCCCCUGCUGUAAACAAUGGUAUUAUUGAGAUUGUCAUGAACUCGGAUGAAUGCUUGCGACAUUAAUUGUUCAGUCAUGAGUACCAGUAUUGCUUUAUUUACAGUAAAUUGAUAAUAAGUCACUUAUGCCUUAUGAGUGAAAGGAAGUAGCGUAUAAACAGCAAAGCACUUCGUAUCUUUACUUAUGUUUAGUAUAUACAAAAAUAUAGGUCAUUGUUCUUGUGUUCAUUAGCCUUGAAGUGUAUGGUAUAUAAUGUUGUCCCUUUAGAAGCGUCACAUAUAAUUAUGUUUUGCACAGGUACCAUGGAUUCUGGGUAUUACACAAAUCUCCUAGUUAAUGGUAUUGAAGAAUCUCAAGCAACUCGUGGUGAUGUAAGAAUACAGCAUGGUCGUGCAACAGCCAAGAGUUCUCAGGGUAGAAGCAAAAAUUUUAGAGAUGAGGAGGACAUUCUUCUUGUGUCAGCUUGGCUGAAUGUGGGCAUGGAUCCUAUUCAAGGAGUUGAUCAAACACAUGGCACACUAUGGAGAAGGAUACAUGAAUAUUUCAAUGCAAACAAGAAGUUUGACUCAAAUCGUUCUGAAGUAUCUUUAAUGAAUCGUUGGUCCGGUAUACAACAUGAUGUGAAUCUGUUUUGUGGAUGUCUGUCUAGGGUUGAGGCUAGGAAUCAUAGUGGUUGGUCAAUUGAUGACAAGGUUUUUAUUUCAUUGUCAGCAAACUAAUUUUGUGUUAGGUAUGAUUAUUUGAGAAAACUCUAUUUCAUGUUUUUUUGGUUUGACAUGUGCAGAUCGCAAAUGCAUGUGUAAUGUUCAAGGCCGAAGACCCCAAGGAUAAGAAGUUUUCAUACCUGCAUUGCUGGAAAAUCUUGAAGGACAAGCCCAAGUGGAUGGAUAGGCGGAAGGAAAUUGGAAGUGCAAAAAAAUCAGCCACUAAGAAACAGAAGACAACGACAAAUUCUUCUCCAGCAUCAAUUGCAAAUGCAAUUGUCGUAGAUGCCCCUCUUGGGGGUGCUGAUCAUGAUGAACCAUCAUGCAGACCCGACGGUAAGAAGAAGGAGAAACAAAAGCUACGACAACGUACGUCCAUGGAAGUUGUAGACUAUCUAAUUGCAAAGAAGAAAGAUUCUGACCUUGAAAAGGACUUGAAGAAAGAGGAGAGGUGCAAUAAAGCCUUUGCUCUACAAGAAGAAAGGAUGAAAUUGGACAAAGAAAAGUUUGCGUUCCAAAGACAGCUCGAAGAAGACAGAAUAAUUGGUUUGGACCUUAGCACCAUGAACUAUAAACAACGGCAGUAUUAUGAAGAUCGUCAGAACGAGAUUCUUGCAAGACGUUUCAAUAUCUAGAAUUUUCUAGUUUUAGUUAAGUAUGCUUUGUCAACAAACUUGUUUUAGUUCAACAUUUCAUCUAAGUACCAUCUUGUUCAAGUUUCAGUUUGUAAUGGUUUAAAGGUCAUGAAUCAACUUCCAUAAGCAUGUAAUAAAUUAAUGGCUUCAUAGUCCAAGAUGAUUUUUGCUGCUAGAUUUUUCUAUUCGCAGAAUUUCCUUUCCCUUUUGCUUGACAGGGGACAUCGCAUGGUACUCAAAAAGGGACUGAAUUUUUUCAAGUUUCGUGUAGUGGACUGAAUAAAAGUUUGGCUAAAUCUGCUCCAUGUCCUAGAAUGUUGCAAGAGCAGCAUGAGUUAAUUGAUCAGAAUGACAGUGGCCCAAUUUCCAUGUGUACUCUUAUCUCAGUUUUCAAAAACUGGUUUAUAAAAAAAAAUUGGAGUGGCUGUUUGGAAGCCAGUUUCCUUUCCCUUUUGCUUGACAGGGGACAUCGCAUGGUACUCAAAAAGGGACUGAAUUUUUUCAAGUUUCGUGUAGUGGACUGAAUAAAAGUUUGGCUAAAUCUGCUCCAUGUCCUAGAAUGUUGCAAGAGCAGCAUGAGUUAAUCGAUCAGAAUGACAGUGGCCCAAUUUCCAUGUGUACUCUUAUCUCAGUUUUCAAAAACCGGUUUAUAAAAAAAAUUGGAGUGGCUGUUUGGAAGCGAGUUUCUAGAAACUGGUUUGUAACUUCUUAAAAUUGAAAAUGACAAGCUCAUGUGUGACGAUUCAGAUCAGAUGCAAAUGCUUGUCUGAAUUCUGAAAAAGGCUCUGCAUUACUAUUGAAAAGUCAUUCUUAAGAACAUUGCCAGUCAUGAAUAUAUUCCUAUGAGUGUGGUGAUCUAUUUGUCUUGAUUCUGAAAAAAAGGCUCUCCAAACAGGUGAACUCACUGCCAUCACUAUGAUUAUCCUGGUAAGAGCUGUAAUCAUCAAUAUCACUGUCAUCAUCUAGUCCACUGAAGUGGUAGUCGAUGUGCUGCUUCUCAGCAGCAGCUGCUUUGACACAAGGCUCUCCACACAGGUGAACUCACUGCCAUCACUAUGAUUAUCCUGGUAAGAUAGUUGUAGUCGGUACCAAUUUUAUAUCACUCAGAAUGGUUCAUCUAGUCAAACAAUGCUUUGACAUAAAGUAGAUAAAAAUAAAUAAAGAGCACAUUAAACUCAACUGAAACUCCAAACAAUGCUUCAUCUAGUCAAACAAUGCUUUGACAUAAAGUAGAUAAAAAUAAAUAAAGAGCACAUUAAUCAAUUUUAUAUAACUCAGAAUGGUUUUGCCACAAGUGCUCGAUCAGGUCUGCCUUAAGCUGAUAGUGGGUUUCCUUGUUCUUGAUAUUUUUGUAUUUUUGAAUGAAUGCAUCGAGUUCAGGUGAAGAAUUGUGCGACACUGUCACCCUUUGUCCCAUGUCGUCGUAGUUGCAAAGAUAUUGUCCCAUAUCGUCGAAGUUGUAAACUUGUUCUCCUCCAUACUCAUCACGUUCGUCUUCAACAAUCAUAUUAUGCAGUAUGAUGCAAGCCAUCAUAAUAUCAUGGAGUGUGUCUUCAUCCCACAAACGAGCCGGCCCACGAACUAUAGCAAAGCGAGAUUGUAGAACCCCAAAUGCCCUUUCAACAUCCUUUCGACAGGCUUCUUGUGCCUUUGCAAAAUAUUUUUUCUUAUUACCUUGUGGCUCUGGAAUGGUCUUAACAAAAGUUGCCCACGAUGGAUAUAUGCCAUCUGCUAGAUAAUAUCCCAUUGAAUAAUCAUGCCCAUUGAUGUUGUACUUAACUUGUGGACCUUCCCCCUCAGCAAGCCUUGCAAAUAUAGGAGACCUAUGAAGCACAUUAAUAUCAUUGUGUGAACCAGGCAUGCCAAAGAAUGCAUGCCAUAUCCAUAGAUCUUUAGAUGCAACUGCUUCGAGUAUAAUUGUGGGCUCCUUUUUAUGUCCCCUGUACAUCCCGUGCCAUGCGGUAGGACAAUUUUUCCAGCUCCAAUGCAUACAAUCUAUGGAUCCGAGCAUACCUGGAAAUCCUCUGCUUGCUCCAAUUGCAAGCAACCUAGCUGUAUCCUGUUCGUUAGGCAAUCUCAUGUACUCUGGUCCGAAUACCUCAACAACAGCUACUACAAACUUUCGCAAAGCUUCCAGAGCGGUACUCUCACCAAUACGAAUGUAUUCGUCCAAAGCGUCAGCCGGAACUCCAUAAGCUAACAUACGGAAAGCCGCAACAACCUUUUGAAGAGAAGAUAGACCUAGCACACCAGCAGCAUUCCUCUUCUGCACAAAAUAGUUGUCAUGUUCCUCAACAGCAUUCAUUAUGCGAAGAAAUACAGGUCGCCUCAUCCGAAACCUAUAUCACGAUGCAGUUAAAAAUUAGCAAUACUAAAAUGAUGUAAAAAGAAAUAGGAAAAAAUAUAAAUCAUUGCGAACCUCCGUCUAAAAGUCUUUGAAUUGAACGUAGGAUUAUCUGAGAAAUAGUCUUUGUAAAGAAGAGCAUGGUGUAACAGUCUGUCACGAUGCACUACCGCGUGCCCCUCAACAGAACCAAUUCGUCCCGGAUGAUUAACUAAACCAUCAACGAUCACGUGGGCGGCAUCAAAAAACAUAUCAUUCUCAUCAUCCGAAGAUGACGGAUCAAUCAGGUCGUUCAUUACAAACUGAUUGAAUUCAUCAUCUGACUCCAUACCGUCGAAGUGGUCCCGUACAAGACGUCGAAGUCGCGGCAGCAGCUUUCAGCUUCUAGACAUCCGAUUAUCGACAGCACCGUACACCACCUGGCUGUCGCAGUAGUGUGACAAUCUUCAGGUUGCGGGCGUUGACUCCUACCCACUAUUCACCGUUGAUGUUGAGUUCAGUUGGCAGGCGUCGAGCGCUCUCCAAUGUUCACCGCAGGUGUCUAUUUAAGGUUGUAGGUUGCCGCAUCUAAAUCUGAAGGUUUCCGGCGUCCGAUUCUUCAGGUUGGAGAAGUCAAAUACUUCAUCGCACACUAAGUCCUGGCCCGUGGAUUGGCACACCAGAACGUCAUGCAGAUCAGAUUGCACAUGCAGAACUAUUCAAAUCGGAUCCAAAAGCCGAGCGUUGAGAGCGGUCUGCAGGUUGGCGACGUCCGAUUCUUCAGAGCGUUCUGCAGGUCUGCAGGUUGGAAAAAUUCAAACAUGCAAAAAAGCCAAGAAAAAGUCAAACAUGCAAAAAAAGCCAAGUUUACCGUUUCCUUUAGAUAGUUUGUUGGAACCUAUGCUUUGUAGAUAGCUUCCUUUAGCGAAGUGUGCUCUGUAAACUUGAGAUUUAGCUAGGAUUUUUAUAUAAGCUCUUGGAGAUGCUCUUACUAAACUAAAAUUAACUUAUAUUUAGAGCAUCUCCAAGAGACUAGCUAAAUGGCUCGUCAAGCCAAAUUAUAGCUAUUCAACAACAAAAUAACUCUCCAACAGACUAGCUAUCUGACUCGCCAAGCUAUCCGACUCUCCAAAUUGGCUCCCUCACUAGCUAAAUUUAGCUAGUCACCUGAGUAGCCAAACUUAGCUAGUCACCUGAGUAGCCAAACUAGAUAGAUAAUCUGUUGGGAUGUAGAUGCUACAUAUAGAGUAUAAUUAUUAUGAAAAGUUAAAUAGAGAGUCAAAUAGCGAGGCAAAAAUGAAAUGUCUCUUGGAGAUACUCUUAGUCCUUUUAUUCAUACAACCUCUAAAAUCGAACAACCCCAAUGAUUACCUUCUUUUUUUUCUAGAGAAAGUAUGGAUACAAAACAUCAGGCCCACACAGGAACUAUACAUAUAAAAUUAGAAGUAUGGACAUCUUAUACUGCACGUGCCGCCUUGAGAGCUAGAUUGGAAUGGUAAAUACUGAGAUUUUUUAAUGAGUAAAGAGACCUCUUUACUGCCUAGAAAUAGGUGGAGCCCAAUUUGUUUGGAAUGAAGUCGAGUAUGCGCUACCUAAAGCGGCUACUUCUUGCUACCCUACAUCAAUGAGCUGCCUCUCCAUUAGUAGUUAUGCCUUUUUUUGCUUUAGCAAACAUAAAACCAAGGGUCUCUUUGGUUUAUUUAGACCAGGGACUAAAGUUUAGUCACUACCCUGUUUUGAUUGCGGUAACUAAAAGUAUACAGAACACAUUAAAUGACUCAUAAGAAGACUAAAAUGUCCCUUAACAUUAUUCUACCAUUAGUGCAACUGAAAUAUAUGAGAGACAAAAGGUGAAAUUAAUAUAGUUUAGUCCCUUUUAGUCACCUAUUGAGGGACUAGAGACUAAAGCAUUUUAGUCCCUGUUUUAGUCUCAUCGUUUGGUUAUUUAGGGAAUAAAUGAGACUAAAAUAGAAGGACUAAUCUUUAGUCCCUCAAACCAAACAUGGCCAAGUAAAGGAGUGACCAGUUGGCCACACCCUAGCACAGUCCGAUUCCGGUGUGUUAGAGAAAUGCCACUAAUAACAACUAACUCAGUAGAUUUCUCUUUAUAUGCACCAAAUCAAGUUCAACUCGAAUUCUGCAAGCUACCAUCAGGUUUAAUUACCACGUCUACCCUAUCCCUAUUUUAUUUGCAUUUCAUUGAUUCAUAUGUACAACAGUUCAUUUCCUUGAUACAUUUCAACACAUACAUUUUCCUUUGCAGAAUUAUUUACAGACAUUGCUGACCGCUUACUAACCUAUUUUCCAAUGGACUUUGUAGGUUGGCCCCUCGCGUGGAAAUACUUAAAUACAAAGCUCAUGAGACAGGUCGUCUAGCUAAUUAAUUCAUGAGUAAAAUAUAUAUAAUAGCUCACUGUUUUUCAUAACUGACCAAUAGGUUCAAGGAAGAACCCUUGCACAUCCAAGAAGAACCUACCCAGAAAUAUUCCCAAAACUGAAUGUCGACUUCUAACAUCAACACUCUUUGAAGUUUUGGGUGUUUAUUUUGUAAGCUCUGUGUAAUUAUGUAUGGUGUAUGGAUGCAUCAACCUUUU
rnacentral:lncRNA from 1 species